rnacentral:rRNA from 3 species
GGGACACGUGGUAUCCUGUCUGAAUAUGGGGGGACCAUCCUCCAAGGCUAAAUACUCCUGACUGACCGAUAGUGAACCAGUACCGUGAGGGAAAGGCGAAAAGAACCCCGGCGAGGGGAGUGAAAAAGAACCUGAAACCGUGUACGUACAAGCAGUGGGAGCACGCUUAGGCGUGUGACUGCGUACCUUUUGUAUAAUGGGUCAGCGACUUAUAUUCUGUAGCAAGGUUAACCGAAUAGGGGAGCCGAAGGGAAACCGAGUCUUAACUGGGCGUUAAGUUGCAGGGUAUAGACCCGAAACCCGGUGAUCUAGCCAUGGGCAGGUUGAAGGUUGGGUAACACUAACUGGAGGACCGAACCGACUAAUGUUGAAAAAUUAGCGGAUGACUUGUGGCUGGGGGUGAAAGGCCAAUCAAACCGGGAGAUAGCUGGUUCUCCCCGAAAGCUAUUUAGGUAGCGCCUCGUGAAUUCAUCUCCGGGGGUAGAGCACUGUUUCGGCAAGGGGGUCAUCCCGACUUACCAACCCGAUGCAAACUGCGAAUACCGGAGAAUGUUAUCACGGGAGACACACGGCGGGUGCUAACGUCCGUCGUGAAGAGGGAAACAACCCAGACCGCCAGCUAAGGUCCCAAAGUCAUGGUUAAGUGGGAAACGAUGUGGGAAGGCCCAGACAGCCAGGAUGUUGGCUUAGAAGCAGCCAUCAUUUAAAGAAAGCGUAAUAGCUCACUGGUCGAGUCGGCCUGCGCGGAAGAUGUAACGGGGCUAAACCAUGCAC